CGGAGGAAAAGAAACUAACAAGGAUUCCCCUAGUAACGGCGAGUGAACCGGGAAGAGCUCAAAUUUGAAAUCUGGCGUCCUCAGGGCGUCCGAGUUGUAAUCUAUAGAGGCGUUUUCCGUGCCGGACCGUGUCCAAGUUCCUUGGAACAGGAUAUCAAAGAGGGUGACAAUCCCGUACUUGACACGACGACCGGUGCUCUGUGAUACGUCUUCUACGAGUCGAGUUGUUUGGGAAUGCAGCUCAAAAUGGGUGGUGAGUUCCAUCUAAAGCUAAAUAUUGGCGAGAGACCGAUAGCGAACAAGUACCGUGAGGGAAAGAUGAAAAGCACUUUGGAAAGAGAGUUAAACAGUACGUGAAAUUGUUGAAAGGGAAACGAUUGAAGUCAGUCGUGACCGAGAGGCUCAGCCGGUUCUGCCGGUGUAUUCCCCUCGGUCGGGUCAACAUCAGUUUUGUCCGGUGGAUAAGGGCGGUAGGAAGGUGGCACCCUCGGGUGUGUUAUAGCCUGCCGUCGCAUACAUCGGGUGAGACUGAGGAACGCAGCUCGCCUUUAUGGCCGGGGUUCGCCCACGUCCGAGCUUAGGAUGUUGACAUAAUGG
rnacentral:rRNA from 1 species